GUGGGGAAUAUUGCACAAUGGGGGAAACCCUGAUGCAGCAACGCCGCGUGAGUGAAGAAGUAUUUCGGUAUGUAAAGCUCUAUCAGCAGGGAAGAAAGUGACGGUACCUGACUAAGAAGCCCCGGCUAACUACGUGCCAGCAGCCGCGGUAAUACGUAGGGGGCAAGCGUUAUCCGGAUUUACUGGGUGUAAAGGGAGCGUAGACGGCACAGCAAGUCUGAAGUGAAAUCCCCGGGCUCAACCCGGGAACUGAUUUGGAAACUGUUGGGCUGGAGUGCUGGAGAGGCAAGCGGAAUUCCUAGUGUAGCGGUGAAAUGCGUAGAUAUUAGGAGGAACACCAGUGGCGAAGGCGGCUUGCUGGACAGUAACUGACGUUGAGGCUCGAAAGCGUGGGGAGCAAACAGGAUUAGAAACCCUGGUAGUCC
rnacentral:rRNA from 1 species